UAGUCAUAUGCUUGUCUAAAAGAUUAAGCCAUGCAUGUCUAAGUAUAAAUCAGUCUAUACGGUGAAACUGCGAAUGGCUCAUUAAAUCAGUUAUAGUUUAUUUGAUGGUACAGCACUACAUGGAUACCCGUGGUAAUUCUAGAGCUAAUACAUGCAGCAGGGCCCGACUUCGUUGAGGAAGGGUUGUAUUUAUUAGAUAAAAAACCAGCCUGGCGCAAGCCAGCUCGCGUGGUGAUUCAUGGUAACUUGUCGAAUCGCAGGGCCUCGUGCCGGCGAU
rnacentral:rRNA from 1 species